AUGGGCGCACAAGCCCUUCUCGAGUUCAUUGCGCUGGUGGACAUAACUCAGCAUGUGGACCUGCAGCAGGGCAUUGAUGAUGACAUAGCUUGGACUUGGGAGAGCACAGGGCAAUUCUCAGCGCAAUCGGCAUAUCAUGCCCACUUUGCGGGAAGAACAGAGAACGCGGGAGCGGUGCAGAUAUGGAGAUAUCCCCCUCCCUCCACAUGCAAGUUUUUCACGUGGCUCGCGGCAAGAAAGAGAUGCUGGACGGUAGAUAGGCUUCAGCGACGGCAGCUGCCGCACCCGUCGGCAUGCCCUUUCUGUGAUCAACUGCCGGAGACAUUGAAUCACUUGCUUCUCGGAUGCGUUCUAGCACGACUGGUAUGGGCCAAGAUCAUGAACACUUGGGGUAGACCGGAGUGGACGCCAUCCGCUGAUUCAAAGCUAGUUGAAUGGUGGACAACACUCAAUCCUCAAAAGCAAUCCCGGAAGGAGGCGUGGACGAUGAUAACACUGAUGCUAUGGAUAUUGUGGAAGCACCGAAACGACAUUGUCUUCAAUGGAGCAUCGCCAUCGGUGAACGGCGUGCUUGUUAAGAUUGAGUUAGAGGCACAGGAUUGGAGGGCGGCUGGCCUACUACGUGAACGUGGCUCAGUCAUUUGUAUGGUAGAUAGGUGGGACGAGAGCGAGUAA
rnacentral:rRNA from 1 species